rnacentral:rRNA from 1 species
CACGUAGGGUGCGAGCGUUGUCCGGAAUUAUUGGGCGUAAAGAGCUCGUAGGCGGUGUGUCGCGUCGGCCGUGAAAACCUGCAGCUUAACUGUGGGCUUGCGGUCGAUACGGGCAUCACUGGAGUUCGGCAGGGAGACUGGAAUUCCUGGUGUAGCGGUGAAAUGCGCAGAUAUCAGGAGGAACAUCGGUGGCGAAGGCGGGUCUCUGGGCCGAUACUGACGCUGAGGAGCGAAAGCGUGGGGAGCGAACAGG